ACAACCAACGGGGUGGUCUGAACUCUAAAACAACAACAAAACAAAGAUCGCUACACGUGUCAUUAAUUAAAUCAAUGAUUUCAUUUGCAUGAAUGGCUGAUUGUUAAUACAAACAAGUAGUUUUGUUUUUAAGGCCUAAAAUUAAAUUUGUUUCAAGGCUGUGCUAUUGUUAAAAUGUAACUCAGGUUAGGGAGUCUGCUUGAUACCUUCCAUCUUUUGCCAGCUACCAUAUCAAGAAAGUUAGCCGUCGUGUUUCUAGCAAUAAAAACGGUUUAAAAGAUGUACAUCACGGGUUUUAUUCCCCAGGACGGAGUGCCAGCCCAUCCCAGAUCUACCUGACUGUGACUGUGUCACCCUCAAAGUCAAGAACAAUUUCCAGGAACCAUAUUUUGAAUUCGAGGCUAAGAUACCUUACAGCCAGGAUAAAUAUCUGCUGCAUUAUCUGGAGUCUGCUGCUAAUCAAAACACACAGUUCAUGUUCACGGCCAAAUACUUCACCACACAGAGGGGGUUCUUUAUUCAAGCAAUCAACGAUUUAUUUGGAGUCGAGGAAAGCAAAACUUUCUGGAAGAUCUUGGAUGACUUCACUGACACUCCGCUGGAUCUCGGUGUGUCCGCCUAUGUCCCCAGCAAAGGACAAAGCAUACGGUUUGAGUUUGUUUCCUGGGAAAACUACAAGUGUCGAGAAGAUUAAAUCAUCCAAGGAA